rnacentral:lncRNA from 1 species
GCAUCCCAAAAAAAACAGAUUAAGGUAAAAUGUCAUAAUCAAUCUCUUUUCUAUCUCUUGUUUCUGGACAUCUUUAGGUAAGAUAAAUGAUGUUCUUCCUUGAAAUUUUCUUGUAAUAAUUAUUUUACUCUUUUUUUGUGGUCUCAAAACGGCGAAAUGGCUUCUUGGCCACUCAAUUUGCGGCUGAUUUUAAAGCCGAUACACAAACUUAUGAGUUUCUCAUUUGAACACUUAAACUCCUGAAACCCAUAAUUAAUAAACACAUUUUAUCCGCGCGUGUAUUACACAUUUGCUAACGUGUCCAUCCAGUCAGCACUGAUCUAAUAUUAAUGUUACACGUCAUAGGCGGGACCCAGAUCGUGUAACCUAAUUAUUAAUCUCUUUGUUAGUGGAGUUUACGGUUCAUUUUGGUUAGUUUAACUCGGUUUCAAGGAAAAUGUUGACUGUCUCUAGCAAUUAAGUAUGACUUCUCUCGCUGCCAAUUUCUUUCUACAAUAGUAAAUUUAGAUUUUCACUGUGGUAUCUGAUUAUGCUAAUUUUGAAAAAUAGAAAGAGUUUAAGUGAGACCCACCACCCCCAAAAAUUCAUCUUCUUCUUCAUCUGCUAAUUCUGAGCUCCAAAGCAGCCAUUCAAGAAACCAUUCCAGGACCCAAAAAAUUCAAUUUUGCAUCUGUGUUUUCCAUCGAAUACUCUUCUUUCACCUCUCGGAAUGGGAGAUAACAAAGAGAAUAAGAAACCAUUCCAAGACCCAACAAAUUCAAUUUUGCAUCUGGGUAUUCCAUCAAAUACUCUUCUUUCAUCCCUUGGAAUGGGAGAGAACAAAGAGAAUAGACAACUACAAGUAAUUUUAGCGACAAAAACAGAGAAGAGCGACCGGCGAACAAAUUUUUGCAUCUACGAUAAUUACAGAGCAUAUUCAAAACAUUUGCUAGCCUUUUGUAAAAUCAGAAAGAAUGGGUAUGAUUGGACCCCAUGAAUGCAAUGAACUUAAUGUCCAUUUUGAGCUUUUGUUUUGUUUUUCCGGUGAAAGGUACGCCCAAAAUCAUAUUUGGAUCUGAUAUAUUUUGAGCUCUUCUCUCUGUAGAAAUUAGAAGGAGAAUACACAAGAAAAAAUAACGGUGAAGAAUUUUUGUUUUUUUUGACUUCAUUAAUAUAGUAGAACAGUGGAGAGAACGAAGGGUAAAGGAACAGUGUAAACGAAAAAUUUGACGAACGGGAAUGGAGAAAACAACGUAGAGAGAUGUAGGUUGAAAGUUCUUUUUCUUCUUCUUUUUCUUUUUCUUUUUUGUUUGAUUUUACAAUCUUUUUAAUGAAUAGUAACAGAUAUACGCGCUCUUUGAACGUGACUUGUACGCACUAUGUCCACCUAAGAUAAACUACCGCCACAUAAGCAUAGUCAAAGGUCAAAAGUAUUUAUUAGUUAUGAGUUUCAGGAGUUUAAGCGUUCAAAUGGGAAACUCAUAAGUUUGUGUAUCGGCUUUAAAAUCGGCCGCAAGUUUGAGUGGCCAGGAAACCAUUUCGCCAAAAAAUUAUAGAGUUUGAUACGACUGUCAAACAUUUGAUUUGCAAAUGUUUUCCAUGGACCUGUACCUUCACCUAAAUUUCCUGUAGCAGUCAAUUUGUUCAAAGUAUCAGAUCUUUCCAUUUGUUGUUACUCAUCAUGCUUAAUAGCAGUCACAGGUAAUGCAACAACUGCUGCUUUACUCACUUUCUCAACAAUAGGAGGUACAUCAGAUUUGUUUUACUUGUGCAAUACUUGCCCAACUACAGAUUUGCUUGACAAGUUUGUCAGCUGUAUAGAUCGAUCACCAUCUGCAUUGUUUGCAACAUUAGUCUCCAGCCUUCCAGUUGAAUCUAGAAGCCUUCAAAUCCUGUGAGACCCCAGCAGUAGCUGCUGCAUUAAAAUCAUUCAAUAUAGCAGUAACACCUGGAACGAAAUUCACACUAGAUUCAUAAUUUGCUCAGCAGCUGGCACGUUACGAAUUCCAACUGAACCUCGAGCAGCAGCUUGAUUUUUAGCCUUAGCAAUUUGCAACUCUGCACCAUCUCAAUCCUCAACUGCCUUUUUUUGCAGCAUUAGAGGCAUGUAGCUCAUCAUUAUUUACUGCUCGAUGAAUGUUCAGGUUACCAAUUCGUUCUCCCCUGCUGUCUGCACCUCUUGCUGCUCGACCACAUUCUUCUUUGCUAAAUUAUCUACCAUCUGCUCAAUCAUUGAGGUCUCACCUGCAGUUAUACCAUAAUCUGCUUCGCCUCUUUGCUUAUCAUCUUUUUAUGAUAAAUCAUUACCUAUUUGUCCAUCUCUUUUAGAAAUUAACUAAUCUCUUGCAUCCUUUGUUUUGUGCUUUGGCAUUGAUCUGUAUAUGAGCUAUUGUUGCACUACUUUCUCCUUGGGCAAUUUCUUUCCCCUUGGUAGUAAUCUUCUUUCGUUGUUGUUGGUUCACCAUUAUGUUUGGUGAGGUAGUUGGCUACUCUAUCAGUGAUGGAAUGUUCAAG